CUGCCUUGGACUAUGAUCUCUUAAGAUAAUGACAAUUGCUGUUCAAAACAAAAGUGCACAUGGGCUUAUUUGUCUGAGACAGAACUCCUGGUCGCGUGGAUGGCAUCACCGUUGCACCCAUCAUCAACCCCUGACAAUUCCAAAGUUAUCCCGGUGGUCCUUUCUCUCAUCCUCAUGUACACUAAGUCAAGGAGACAUCCUUCAUGAUGCCUGCAUGUGCCAGGAGCUGUGUGAGGUGCUGGAGGGAGAUGAACAAUCAGACAUGGUCCCUGACCUGAAGAGUUUGCAUUCUACCUUUCGCCGCUGCAGCCGCGGCCAUGAGUAUGCUCAGGUUUCAGAAGAGGCUUGCCUCCAGCGUCCUUCGCUGUGGCAAAAAGAAGAUCUGGUUGGACCCCAAUGAGACUAAUGAAAUCACCAAUGCCAACUCCCGCCAGCAGAUCCGGAAGCUGAUCAAAGAUGGGCUGAUCAUCCAGAAGCCUGUGACUGUCCAUUCCCGGGCUCGAUGCCGGAAAAACACCUUGGCUCACCAGAAGGGCAGGCAUAUGGGUAUAGGUAAGCGAAAGGGUACUGCCAAUGAUCGAAUGCCUGAGAAGGUAACCUGGAUGAGGAGGAUGAGAAUUCUGCGCCGGCUGCUCAGACGAUACUGUGAAUCUAAAAAGAUUGACCACCACCAUGUAUCACAGCCUGUACCUGAAGGUGAAGGGUAACGUGUUCAAAAACAAACAGAUUCUCAUGGAACAUAUCCACAAGCUGAAGGCAGACAAGGCUCACAAGAAGCUUCUGGCGGACCAGGCUGAGGCCCGCAGGUCUAAGACCAAGGAAGCCCACAAGCGCCGGGAAGAGCGGCUCCAGGCCAAGAAGGAGGAAAUCAUCAAGACUCUGUCCAAGGAGGAACAGACCAAGAAAUAAAGUUCUCCCCCUCUUCUCUGUACAUAGUGGCCUCAGCAAUUGCAUAGAUCACUCAUUCAAUAAAAGACAAGCCUCUAUCUGCCUAAAAAAAAAA